CUCAGGCCUGAGCUCUGUGAAGGUGAAGAUCAUGUGUUAAACUGGUUUGUAUCCUCCUGAAAUACCUAAUCUAGCCUGAGCAUGGUCACAGAUUUCCAACUCUUCACUGAAAUGAAUGAACAAAAGAAUAAGGUCUGAAUGUGACAUCCACAGUACUAAAUGCUCAGAGACUGUACCCAAUUUCAGAGUUCAUAGGAAGGAAAGAAGAAGACACAGAAAGAGCUAAUUAUAAUAGAAGUCAAAGGUGAUGUACGCUGUGAUGUAAACUAGUGAACAUUCUCAGAGGUUAUGCACUUCAGCAGAACUUCAGAAGGUAAGUGAGGACUGAACAGGGAUGCAAGACCAUCCUAGGCGUGAGUGGUUUGCCCUCCUGUAAAAAGACAAGCAUUCAAGGUCGCCGAAGGGGAGAGCCUGGCUUUGGCGGCAGUUGACAAGAAAAGUUAGCCUUGUAGACAAAUUGUCAAAGAUCUUGGAUAGCGUAUCAAAGAACGUGGAGUUGGCAAUGUCAGCAAUGAGGAAAGCUCAGAGAUUCCUAGUCAGAGGGCUUGUAGGACCCCAUCUGGCUUUUGAACAGACAGCCCCAGCCUCUCUGUGGAGGCUUGACGCAGAGCGAGCUAAUAGCUGUGCUUCAAAUGGGACGGAAUAGAAUUCACUGCUGCAGAUGUGAGGGCCUGAUUACUGUCAUCUGGGAAACCUGAUGGCUAUGACACUGUGAGGUCCAAAAUGAAGAAAAGACCAGUCUUGGCUGUG